rnacentral:rRNA from 1 species
GAUGAACGCUGGCGGCGUGCCUAAUACAUGCAAGUCGAGCGAAUGGAUUAAGAGCUUGCUCUUAUGAAGUUAGCGGCGGACGGGUGAGUAACACGUGGGUAACCUGCCCAUAAGACUAGGAUAACUCCGGGAAACCGGUGCUAAUACCGGAUAACAUUUUGAACCGCAUGGUUAGAAAUUGAAAGGCGGCUUCGGCUGUCACUUCUGGAUGGACCCGGGUCGCAUUAGCUAGUUGGUGAGGUAACGGCUCACCAAGGCAACGAUGCGUAGCCGAACUGAGAGGGUGAUCGGCCACACUGGGACUGAGACACGGCCCAGACUCCUACGGGAGGCAGCAGUAGGGAAUCUUCCGCAAUGGACGAAAGUCGGACGGAGCAACGCCGCGUGAGUGAUGAAGGCUUUCGGGUCGUAAAACUCUGUUGUUAGGGAAGAACAAGUGCUAGUUGAAUAAGCUGGCACCUUGACGGUACCUAACCAGAAAGCCACGGCUAACUACGUGCCAGCAGCCGCCGUAA